CGAAAUAACCUAUACUACGUCGUUUCAAUAGUUCCCUUCCUAUUUCCCUUCCCUUCCCUUCCCCGCCCCUGCUCUACCCUAAAUCUAAAACAACUUUCUGUCUCUCCGUGCGUGCCGCCAGUGCUCCAUCUCUCAUCUCUGUGCUCACCUCCAACCCUAACGCCCUCCUCAAAGUGCCUCGCCUCUAAGCUCCAUCCACUUCCGGCGGCGGUUCCACCAUUCACUGUCCAGCC
rnacentral:lncRNA from 1 species